GAUGAACGCUAGCGGCAGGCUUAACACAUGCAAGUCGAGGGGCAGCAGGAGUAGCAAUACUUGCUGGCGACCGGCAACCGGGUUCGGAACACGUACGCAAUCUACCUUCAACUGGGGCAUAGCCCGAAGAAAUUCGGCUUAACACCCCAUAACCUAACUAACAGGCAUCUGUUUGGUUAUUAAAACUGAGGUGGUUGGAGAUGAGCGUGCGUCCCAUUAGAUAGUUGGUAGGGUAACGGCCUACCAAGUCGACGAUGGGUAGCUGAUGUGAGAGCAUGAUCAGCCACACGGGCACUGAGACACGGGCCCGACUCCUACGGGAGGCAGCAGUGAGGAAUAUUGGUCAAUGGACGCAAGUCUGAACCAGCCAUGCCGCGUGCAGGAUGAAGGCCUUCUGGGUUGUAAACUGCUUUUAUCAGGGAAGAAACCACAGAUUUCUAUUUGUGCCGACGGUACCUGAGGAAUAAGCACCGGCUAACUCCGUGCCAGCCGCCGCAGUAACAC
rnacentral:rRNA from 1 species